rnacentral:rRNA from 1 species
CGUUAUUAGAUUUUAUUAAUAAUCUCACCUGCACGGUGAUAAGUUAAAUUGCUGCAGUAUCCUGACUGUACAAAGGUAGCAUAAUCAUUAGUUUUUUAAUUGAAGACUGGAAUGAAAGGUAGAUACUAAGAAGGAUGUUUUAUUUAAUAUAUUUUGAAUUUAAAUUAAAAGUAAAAAUGCUUUUAUAGAUUUCUGGGACGAGAAGACCCUAGAAGCUUUAGAUAUAGAUAGAUAUAUUUUUGAUUGGGGCAAUCACUGAAGAGAAUUAUUUUUAGUUUAUUAAAUUAUAUUUUAUAAGUUACUCUAGGGAUAACAGCGUUAUUUAAUUAGCAAGUUCUUAUUAAUAAUUAAGGUUGCGACCUCGAUGUUGAAUUAAAAUUAAUUUUGGGUGUAGGAGCUUGGAGUGGGUAGUCUGUUCGACUAUUAAAAUUUUACA